rnacentral:rRNA from 1 species
AGAUGCUUUGGUGCCUUCGGGAACUCUGAGACAGGUGCUGCAUGGCUGUCGUCAGCUCGUGUUGUGAAAUGUUGGGUUAAGUCCCGCAACGAGCGCAACCCUUAUCCUUUGUUGCCAGCGGUUAGGCCGGGAACUCAAAGGAGACUGCCAGUGAUAAACUGGAGGAAGGUGGGGAUGACGUCAAGUCAUCAUGGCCCUUACGAGUAGGGCUACACACGUGCUACAAUGGCGCAUACAAAGAGAAGCGACCUCGCGAGAGCAAGCGGACCUCAUAAAGUGCGUCGUAGUCCGGAUUGGAGUCUGCAACUCGACUCCAUGAAGUCGGAAUCGCUAGUAAUCGUGGAUCAGAAUGCCACGGUGAAUACGUUCCCGGGCCUUGUACACACCGCCCGUCACACCAUGGGAGUGGGUUGCAAAAGAAGUAGGUAGCUUAACCUUCGGGAGGGCGCUUACCACUUUGUGAUUCAUGACUGGGGUGAAGUCGUAACAAGGUAGGCGUAGUGCU